AUUCUUUUCUCAUUUUUUCUAUAUGUCUCUGCCUUUCUCUAUCUUCCUUUUCUUUCUCUCUUUUCUUUUUUAUCUCCCCCCUCCACGCAGUUCCUUUCCUUCCUUGCCCUCAGUUCCUCACUGCAGAGUACACUGAACAUAUUAAGAACAUUCAGUUGUGGUUGGGCUUCUAACCUUGCUCAACUCCAGCAUUAGCAACGGGAUUCAGUUUCUUGAAUUCAUUAAUAGUGUUUUGCCACAAAAGGCUUUGUAGUUCUCUCCUGAAUAUUGAGCCUAGCUUAAUAACAUUCCAUUUAUGUUAAAGACACAUUUAAUCUGUAAAUGUGACCUUUAGAAGAAUUCUCUUGUUUUUCAUUAAAGAAACACUGCAUUACAAAUAUUAAUUAUUCCUUGAUGCCAUAUUUUAAUUAACUAAUCAUGUGCUAUUUGCAGCAGUAAAGAGUGUAGUAAUGUAUGUGCAGUAAUGUUAUGCAAUGUAAGAUUGAUAUCAAAGAAUUCAGUGCUGUAGAAAAGACAUGUUUUGGGUAUCUUCUCUGGAGUAGUUUGCUUAUAUAAAACAUUUAGUCUAAAAUGAUGCCUUGUUUUGCUUUGCGUUUUGUUUUUUUAAAUGCCAAUGCAAGUCUGAUUAAAAUGCUGGACAUAUCGUUAGCCCCAUCACUAAUAAGUGAACGUUCACUGAUGCAUAUUAGCAGGGUCUAGCAAUGUGGUGAAAUUGUCACUUAAGUGCUUGGAAUCUGAACACAGAAAAUGACAGGCAAUGCCGAAGGUCCGGCUCCAAUGCGUGUCUUCACUGUAGCUAAAGUCACUGGAAUGGUGAAACCAGUUUAGGUUCAAGGUCGCUGCUGACAUUCAGCUGUCAUGGCUUCAUUGUCUGCUGGCCUUCUCUCCAUUGACACAUUCAAGAGUACUUUAUGGCAACCACAAAGAGCCAGUCAAUUGAUACCAUUACACUUCAUGCACACACAAACCACAAGCCUGUUCAGGACUGUUGAUACAGUCUAACAUUUAUUCAUUAAGGGAUCUAUUGAAAAUGCAACUUGCCCAGCCCCACUCCUAACAACAUAGACUUACUUGUUUAGUCCAAACAUUUAGCUACGUCUUUUUCAAGUUUUGCACAGCAUUCUCUAAUUGAGGUAACAUUAUCUGCAUUUUAAUGCUACACCAUUUAUGUCCAAUGAAAGAUUACCUGAAGAACCCUGCCAUUACCACACUAGUUUAAAUACGGGCAGUCGUAUAGAAAAAAUAUACACAAAAGAUGUAAGCAGGGGGAAAAGGGAGAUAUUUAUUUGUUCUGGGAGUGCCACGGAAAUCCAAUUGCUCAGAAAUGAAAUAAGAGUCUGAAGCGAAAGGAGGGAAAACCUAAGCUUGGGUCAGGGAAGAGGCAGUGAUUAGCUCCAUUGUUAGGAGCUCUUUGAGCUUCGUUGGUUGUAAAGAAAAACCCACUAAUGAAUCUAUUGAAGCUUGCCAGAACUUUGUGUGGAAGACAACUUAAGUUAUGGUGCUUAUCUAAAAAAUGGUACUAAAGUGUGCAGAUAUAUAAAACAUAGCACAUACAUCUCUUUGUUAACAGCUUGCCCAUAAAAACAAAAAAAAUUGUUUAAAGAUACUGUGAUGCACAAAUGACUGAUUUAACAUGGAUAUGCUUAAUUCAAUAUUUAUAGGUCUUGAAAAAAAUCACCUAAAUGAUGAUAAGAUACAAGAAAGUAUGCCCUAUUAUAGUUUAAAGAUGGGGAAAUAGGCAGAAAUAGAAUAUAGCUAAUCUCUUCUUGGUUUUCUACCAUUAUUUGCAAAGAAAGGUGGGCUUAAAAGCGAGUCAGAAGAUUGUUUCAUGUUUUGCAUAUUUUAAGUAUGCAUAAAACAUUUCAUUAAGAAAUGUAAUCAACUAACAUUAAAAAUAGCAGACUUUGUAUAGAAGAACCAAUAUGCCUGUGUACUAUACCUAGUAAAACAUGUUCAUCAUGCUUCCAUUCUAUGUAAUUUCCAACAUAGAGUUGAGUCUUUUCUUGCAGCCAGAUAUAAUAUCUAAUUACAUAUAUAUAUUUAAUUCUAUAAAAUACAUUUCACUGUCUAAUUAAUGUAAGAAUUCAAUUAGGUAGCCAUAUACUAGAAAAAAUAAUUUUGGCCAAUCACUUGGUCAAGAUCAUUGCUAGUAGCUGGAAAAUGUAUGCUGUAUAAUAAGUAGAGGUAGAACAUAUUCUGAAUGUUUUGUCAUGAGUUAAGUUUUGCCAAAUACUUUCAAGUGUUAUAUUGGUAAAGCCAAGUUCAAUCACCAAAUGAGAACUUAUCCAUGGGAUAAGUUAACCCAACUAUCACACUUAUCCAUGGCUCCAUGACUUUUUCACAAGAAUGAAGCUUAUUACUUGGGAAACAUGAUUCUCUACCUCUGAAGACUUGUCUUUUAUAGAUAAAUGAGUGUUAUGUCAAUGAAUUGGCUUAUUUUUUCAUGACCAAGUAGGCAUUAUUCCUCCAAAGCAUGCUAUUUAGGGGCAACAGGACUAACUGAUAAGCAGAAUUCUUCUUUUAUAAUGUCAAAGAUCUUUUUACUUUUGACAUCCCAGAUUUACAGCUAAGGCCCUAGGAAACUUUUUGUGGAGAUUAUUGUGUAGUUAUCAUGAAAUUAUCUCUUUAGACUCGUGUCAACAUAAGGGAAGAUAUUGUUGCCACAGUAUGAACAACCGUUCUUCAGGUCUUCAUUAAUUUGCUUCAGUGAUCAAACUAGCAUGAGCAAAGGCUAAACACAACCAAAUAAAAAGCUAGUUAUGUGGUUGUAGUUUAUGUCAGGUCCAAACCAUCCAGAAUCCAUUCUGAUAAGGUAUGUUACCAAGAAUGUCUCUUUUUCUAUGAGAUUUUAUGUCAGGAGAUUUGACUUAAUUUUGACCAACAGAGUAAUCUGAGGAUGAGAAUUGCAAGACAUAUAUCAAAAUAUUGAGAAGGUAAAGGAAAUUAAUAUUGAAAGGAUACAGUCCAGUUGUGUCAAGCACUUUACUUAUGUUGUUUUGUCUCUGCAACAACCCUGUAUAUUUUGGGAUUAUUAUUGCUCAAUUCUACUGGUGGGCAAAGAGAAGCUUCUGGACCUUUAAAUUUUUACCUGAGGCCAUGAAGUAAGUAACUGGUAAUGCUGCAAGUUAAACUGAAUACCGUAUUUGCCUGAAGCCCAUAAUGUCCUGAAUACAGGUUUCAGCCAAAGGACUUAAAACACCUUGGUAAAAUUUAGCUAACAUUGCUGAUGCCAUUUAUGGUAAUAGUACCUUCUCUCUCUUUCAUCUUCAUGUUGCCUCACUUUUCAAAGUCACUCCCUGUAAUAAGCUUCCAUUUUGUCUUUCUUUCUCUUCCUCUUUCCUUUGCUUCUAGAGAAUAUUGAAGAUCUAUCAUCUUCCAUAUCAAACUUCAUCCAUAUCAGACAUCUUUCACAUCAGUUUAAUAAUAAAAGUAGCUCCACUAAGGAGUAACAGUGAUCUACCAAUUCACAAUAGUUUCUACUGUAUUUUUUUCCUCGAGGAAUAUGAAUGUAAAUCUGUCAGUCCAAAAUUCAGGGUCUCUGUAAAUGUUCUGUAAAAUCCUUAUGAUGUGUUAUAUAAUCCUUUGAGCUUUCUUCCAAAACUCUUUUAUAUCUUUUCAUUAAUUUAACAAUUUUUUCUAGGAAAUUUCUUUUCAGAUGAGGAAACAAACUUUUAUGGAGACCUAAGAGACUGAAGACAUCUGGCCUGGACUACUCCGAUGGUGAAAUUGAAAGUACACCGAAAUUUGCUUUGUUACAGGAUUCUCUUCAGAGGACAAGAGAAGACGUUAUAUUCUCUGCAGGAGGACAAUUCUGCAGCAUCAACAUUGAAUAAUACUUGUUUUCUGGCAGCAGAAUUUUGUAUUAUAUUUCCAAAGACAGUAAACACUUGGGUGGACGUCAAUGAAUACUAAACACUAAUUGAUCUGAUACAGCCAUAUGCACAUACACAGAUAUACAUGGUAGCUUAUAAUGGUUGAAAAAUUACAGUUUGGUUCUAUUAAAAGAUCUGUCACUUUUAGGUCAGAGUGGGAUUUUGGAGGGGUAGUCUCCCACAAUAGAAAACUAUCUUGACAACAGUGGUGUUUUGGUGUUGUUUGUUGUUUAGCUUGUUGAUGAUGCUUAGCUAAGGAGACACUUCCUUUCAGAUUCUGUCUUCCAAACCCCAGGGCUCUGUUCUGGGCAGUUCAGCCUAAUGGAAUUAAGCCUGACAUGUUUCAACUCUAUUUCUUGAUAAAAUAAACAUAAAACAAUGGUUUAGAUUUCGAAUAAAACUCUUGAAGCAUGGGGGACUCUAACUUUCCCUGUUCUUUACACAUCUGUAAAUAAAGUGUAUGAGAGGAACACAACAGGAUAAAUCAACAUAAAUUUGAAAUUCACUGCAGCAUAUUAAAUGGUGCAGUCUCAGUCAAAGAGAGGCUGACCCCGAGGCUUCGUGCAGUUUGAAGCUAAUUGUUUUCGUCAGGAUGGGAACGUCUGGAAGUCCAUGGCUGUAUCCCACCAGUAAGGCUCCAGUAACUGAGCCGGCCCACAGAGAAUGGGCCCACUUUGUAGCGACACAGCGGGCUCAGACACCACCUAUUCUGCUCUCCAAACUGUCAUGCAUAACAACUUUAUUGUGCUAAAUUGAACUUGAAAGCAACCAAAGGCUAUGAGAAGGAGAGGCUAUGAGAAAAGCGUGCUGUCAGUGCUGGCAAAGGCUGACCUGGAAAGUAGGCUCAGAGACAGGGGAAUAAAAGACCAGGCCCCAUGAACACAGCAUAUUGUUUCAUUUUAAAGUAUGAUUCCCAUACCAGAGAAAGUAGCAAAUGUGAUGUAAAUUUAUUUAAAUAGAUUCGACCGCUUAAAAGUUUGCCAGCCGCUCUUAUCCAACUUUCCCAGCUCUCUGAUUCGUUACUUACAGUGGGAAUAUAAUGACAUAUAGUCAUCAUUGUAACAGCUUCUUUGCAGGGGCACAAUGAUGAUUAAUAGCCAGCAGCAAAUUUUCACAUGGGCUCUGAAGCACUAUGGCAUUAAGCAGCCAAACAGUCCCAAAUCCCCCUUUUCUGUUCCGCUGAAAAGUCCCCUCCUUGUACCUUCCAGAUAGGAACAAAGCCUAUCUUAAUUCCAAUCAGCUUUUCGUCAUUCAAAGGGACCUUCUCUUUUUCAUAAUUGAUUCAUGUGCAUUUUUUAGUGUUCCACUGAACUGAAACCACUUUUCUCUGUUCUGUCCCCACACCCGCACCCCUUUUUUUUUGAGGGGGUGAGUGGGAAACAUUUCAAUAACAACAACAACAGUAAAAACCGUGUGGUAGUUUUCCCCAAAAAUAUUUGCUAAAUAGAUUUCUCAAUUAGUAUUAGCUUUACACUUAAAGGGCUUAAAACAAAAAUUAACUCCUGGACUUCUCUUUCGUUAGAAGUGGUUCUGGUUAUAAAAAUAUGAGCUUACUGAAAUAGCUCUGGUGGGAGCCCCACAAUCAUGUUCUGUUCCAUUGGGAGACUUUGAGUAGCUUUCCUUCCUAUGAGAGACACAGCUGGAGUGAGGACAGAGUCUCUUGCUCCAGAAUGAUUCUUUUUCCUCCUCUGUGCUGGUAGCCAUCAAAAAAGGAACAAGUGACCAAAAGGAGAGGCAGCAAAGGCACACCUCCUAACCUGCUCUGUCCUUCUCAAUUAUCAUUUUUCCCCAUGGUAAUCUUACAUUAUAAUUAUUAGCAGAAGCUCCUGUGUUAUUUGUGGAAGUUGUCUCUCUCAUCUCUAGUUUUUACCUCCUGUGAUCAUGACACAAAUGACAUUAACCAGUGCUGUCUUGGAAAAAGAUUUCCACCUGCAAAUUCAUUUGUGUUUCUAUGACGAUAUAAUGGCCAUAGAGCACAGUUUUGGUAGAUACACUUUGCAUAUUUGUUUACAUUUCUUACAACGCUGACCUUAUUUUUCUGUAUGAGUAGGAUGACCACAUGCCUCUGUUUUCUCAGGACAAGCCUCAUUUAUGCCUGUUGUCCUUACAUAAUUAUUAACAGUGCUUCCUUUUACCCUCGAAAGUAUCCUAAUUUGAACAAUUUGAAAAACUCAUGCCUUUUGCUAUUUAAAUGGCCCCGAAUGACUUAUACAUACUCAAAGGGCGGGCUCUCUCUUACCCAGGUGGCUGGGGACUGCUUUAUACCAUCCCAGUUUAGGGGAAAGAAUCAAACUUGGAAACCCUGCUGCCGAUGUAGCCAGCACCGACUUUUGUCUCGCCCACUUUGAAGAGGUCAGUUGACCCUAUGCAGCUUCUUUGAUAUGUGACAGAAAGGAGGUCAUUUGCUGAAAUGAAAGACACAUUACAAACCAGAUUUUAAGUGUGACUCUUUCCUUCAGUUGGGUCACAGUUCUUACUUUGAGCCAGCACAACACACUUUACUGGUCAGAUAAAAAUACUCUGCCAUAUUUUAGAAUAACAGUCUUUCUCAUGCUUUGGUGUCUCCAAAUGGUUAAAUGAAGACUAUAUCCAAUUGAUAGGAGGAAUUCUGUUCAUCAGUUUUACCCUAGUGCUUAUAUCUUCUCAUAAAAAGCAACAUGUGAAAAUUGCAUUAUAUAUCUCUAUUGUACUUUUUAAAAUUUUAUUUAUUUUUUAUUAAAAAAAUUUUUUAUUGCAUUUUAGGUUUUGGGGUACAUGUGAAGAACAUGCAAGAUAGUUGCAUAGGUACACAUGUGGCAGUGUGAUUUGCUGCCUUCCUCCCCUUCACCUAUAUCUGGCAUUUCUCCCUAUGCUAUCUCUUCCCAACUCCCCACCCCCCGCUGUCCCUCUCCUAUUCCCCCUUACAGACCCCAGUGUGUAGUGCUCCCCAAAAAUCUCAAACAGGUGAGUGUAAUCCAGUCUUUGGGUUACAGGACCAAAGACUCUCAAAAAGUGUUACAACGCCCCAGGCAAUGGUCCUAAGGGCUGGAUUUUGCAUGUAGAUUACCAAAUUAACUAAGAGAUACUUAAUAUCAUCUGUAGUCAGAGAACUCCCUUCUCCCUCUAUGGGGGGAACCAAGGACAUUCACAUGUGUUGUUUCUUCUUGAAAGUAUAUGUGAUAAAUGGGCUCCUGAUGUGCUUGUGUCAGAAUAACUAUAGCAGGACCUCAAAAUUUUCCACCGUUCAUAAGACCAUAGCUCACAUUCAAUUACUGGAAGGACAAAUAUGUAAGACUUUUGACUGCCUUACUACCUGUUUUAGAAGAGCAUAGCCUCUUGCUCUAAGCCAAAUCUGGACCUAUCUAACCUUUAUUUAUGCAUUUUAUCCCCUUUCUUAGAUGAUUCUUUCAGAAAUGAAAUGAGUGGUGUACAUGAAAAAUAUUUUCUGAUGCAAUAUUUUUAAAAUAAAAAACUUUUUAUGGUCGUGGAUUUAUUUAUGAAGUGAGUGUUUAGACAACUUUAAAGCCAAUUCUACCAUUUGGUUCCUCUUUGAUGGUGAUAGCCAGCUGUCCUGUUUAAUAGGAUGAUGGACCUGGUUACCACUAAAGUCCGACACUUAGAAAUCACUCUGUAUUUUUAGGCCCUAGCUGUUUAUAAGUCUAUGGGAAUCUAACAAGGAGAACUGGUUUCUGCUAACAAUUCUUCCUAUUUUCUUGCAUGUGGCUGUGUCUAUUCUCAAAACUUUUGGCUCAUCUUACUAGAUCUUUUACAAAGAUGCCGAUGUUUCUUGAAAGUGGCUGAAAGAUUAGGGACUUUGUGCCUGAUGUGCUGGAAUAGGUCUGAGUUCUGUUAAAUCUGAUUUAAACAUGUUAAAUCAAAUCUUUUCUGAUUUAUUCUUAUGCCCUCAUUUUCAUGUAAUGUUACAACUAUGAAGAAGUGUAAUUAAGACUUUGAUAUGCCUUCACAGUCUAAAGAGUGCUUCAGUGACAACAGUUUUAUUAGAUUACAGUGAUGGGUCUGGCUGAGAAAUUCCCACAUUCAUGAAGGACUCUGCUUUUUACUGGCUAAAAUGGGAUUUUAAAAUGCAGUGACCUUUGGGACUCUCAGAUAAGUUGCCUCUCCAACCCUUAGGUUAUUUUAUGGAUUGCUAGGGACACAGAGAAGACUGGAUCAAUGAAUGCUAUGCACAUCUUGUCUACUGGCACCAUUGGAGGGACUGAAGAUCAGGGUGCCUCUUUUGACUUUGGUUUGAGAUUACAAUGUUACCCUCUGCUUUACCCUACUAACUCCAUCCUCUCCACUCCAUCACUCUGUAUUAUCUCUAGAAUGCCAUAAAGCACUUACAGUUAUUUUUCCUCACAGUGGAAAAUCUCUUUAUGCAAACUAUAUAAACCAAGGCCCACUAUCCUUACACAGGCAGGGCCAACCCUUUCCCACCAAAGACUAAAUCUGCCUGGAUGCCCAGGAUAGUUGUUUUAUAUACAAACACACUAUCUGUAUCCUAAUCCCAAGCCAGCCAAAUAUAUAUGUCAAACCUGAGGUGGUUUUGUUUAAUUACAUGAUGCCUACAUUGAAGUAUAAAAUCUCUUAAUUGGUUCCUGUCCUGUUUUUUUUAAUAUACUCAAGCUUUUCAUAUCUUUAUUCUGAUUUUUCAUAUUUUUCUUUUCUCUUUUUACUUGUUAACAGAACGCUGGUUUCUUUUCAGAUACUAUGCAGAAAAUAGACUCAGAGAAGGUACACAUAUGCCCAUGAGUCAUAAUUGGUCUAACUCUUUCAUCAUGAUUCUAUUUUCUUUAGCCAGGGAUUGGUUUAAGGACAGUCAUGUGACUCAUUCACCAAAUGAACAUAAAAAUAAAUCUGUUGGGAAACAUUUUUCUUUUGUAAAAAAAGAAGAGACAAAUUCAUGAGGAAAACCUUACGCUCCUUUAUGUUUUUAAAUCUUAUUUCAUGAGGAUGGGGGCUUGGAGUUUUGGCAACAAUAACAGAGAAGCCAAGAGAAUCCUAAAAAAGCUGACCCAGAGAUGUAACAUUGGUGAGAUAUUAAUUAACCAACUUGGAAACUUUCACUUCUAGACUUCUUGUCAUAUAAAAUAAUAAACCCCUAUUAUUUGAGUCAUGCCUUGUUGGGAAUUCUGUUACUUGCACAGUAACUGAAUUCUGUACCUUCUCUUUUCCUGGUUAUUUCUUUCUUAGUACACAUAUCUUUUCUAGCUUCUCUAGGUCAACUUGGUAGGAUAAUAGAACUCAGACUAUUAUAGUUGGCAGCACAAUAGAUCACUUCAUUUAAUCAAAUUUAAUAUACUUACUUUACUGUAGAGGAAGAACACUUAGGAAGCAACAAAAAAUAAUCUGAGGUCAUGUAGGCAGCCUACUCUCAACAGAAUUAGACUAAAAUUCUGGUUUUCUGAAUUGUAGUUAAGUCUCUCUAUAACAAUUUGGUCCAGUUUCCACUAUUGCUCUGCACUCUCUCAUUCCAACCACAAUUCAUUACAAAUUGGCAUACUGUACAUCUUACCUAUGAAGCACAUAAGAUAGGCUGAGAUCAGUGGCUCAUGCCUGUAAUACCAGCACUUUGGGAGGCUGAGGUGAGUGAAUCACUUGAGGUCAGGGGUUUAAGACCAGCCUGACAAACAUGGUGAAACCUCAUCUUUACUAAAAAUACAAAUAUUAUCCGGGCCUGGUGGUGCAUGGCUGUAGUCCCAGCUACUCAGUAGGCUGAGACAGGAGAGUUGCUUCCACCUGGGAGGAAGAGCUGCAGUGAGCCGAGAUUGUGCCACUGCACUUCAGCCUGGGUGACAGAGCGAGACUCUGUUUCAAAAAAAAUAAAAAAAUAAGAUAAAUCUUAUCCACAAAAUAAUGGAUAAAGUAUACAUCCAUACAUGCAUCCAAUUUGUCAAAGGAAUUUAGUCAUCAAAGGACAUUUUCAUGGACCCCUAGGAAGAUCACUAUGACACACUUUCCCCAGAACUAAGAUGUCUUUAUUUAAAUAUUAUUUGGUAAUCUCCACAUCGUUUUGUGUGUUUCGCAUAUUAAAUUUGUAAGGUCCUAAUUUCAUAUGUAUAAAAUACAUACAGUGCUCUGAUACUAUAUUCAAAUCUGAUAUCUGGGAAAAAUGCACAAGAGUUGUUCAAAUCUGUCCAUAUCACUCAUUCUAAAAUUUGGAGAUACAAUGCUGAAUCCUAGGUCAGUUAACUAUACACAAGUGUUAUGCUUACUUUCAUAUUGUGCUGAACAAUGAGGGAGAAGUGAUAGACAAGAGAGCAAGAGAUGGGCUGCUCUUUAGCCCUUGUGUUUUGGGACCAGGCAGGUUCUGGGUCAUUUCUCAUUGCUCUUUGCUCACAGUCCCAGCAUAACACUGAUUUUUUUUUUAAUGUGAGGUGUUAAUAUUAUGGGCAAAAAUUCUUCUUGAUAUCUAUCACAGUAAAUUCCAGCAGCCAGUGUAAUCAACACAAAGUGAGAUGGGCUGUUUAAUCAAUUAAAUGUAGUUUAAUCUGCAGAAAAGUUCAUAAUUAAAAAUUAUUUUUUUAAAUUGUGGUAAUAUAUACAAAACAUAUAGCUUAAUUUCAUUAUUUUUAAGUGUACUAUUCAGUGGCAUUAAGUACAUUCAUACUUUGCAACCAUCAUCACCAUCCAUCCACAGAACUUUUUUCAUCUUAUAGAACUGAAACUCUGUACCCAUUAAACAAUAAUUCUCCAUUAACCCCUCCCACCAGCCCCUGGUACAUACCAUUCUAAUAUUUUUCUGUUAUAUACUGUUUGUCCUUUUGUGACUGGCUUAUUUCGCUUAGCAUAAAGUCUUCAAGUAUGUAUCAGAAUUUUCUUUCCUUUUAGUGCUGAAUAAUAUUUCAUUGUAUGUAUACACCUCAUUUUGUUUAUCUGUUCCUCCAUCAAUGGACACUUGAGUUGCUUCCACCUUUUUGUUAUUGAGAAUAAUGCUUCUAUAAGCAUGAGUAAUAUGGUCUGGUUCUGUGCCCCACCUAAAUGUAAUCUUGCAUUGUAAUCUGAGUAUGUUGGGGGAGAAACCUCAGGGAGGUGAUUAGAUCAUGGAAACAAUCCCCCCAUGCUGCUCUCAUGAUGGUGAGUGAGUUCUCAUGAAAUCUGAUGGUUUUAUAGGGAGAUUUUCCCCCUUUGCUUGGCACUUCUCCUUCCUACUGUGAUGUGAAGAAGGAUGUGUUUGCUUUGCCUUCUACUAUGAUUGUAAGUUUCCUGAGAAUUCCCCAACUAUGCUGAACUGUGAGUCAAUUAAACUUCUUUCUUUUAUAAAUUA